rnacentral:lncRNA from 1 species
AAAAAAACGACUAAUCGCCGUUCAUCUCUCCGUCGUUCUUCUCUCGUCGCCGGCAAACCUUCUUUUCUUCCCUCUUCUCUCCGAAUCGAAACCUUCAUUCUUCUUCUCGUUGGAAAUUCUUUGUUAGAAAUCCAAUCCAAAUCCACGUUCCUUCGUCUCCUUUCUUGUAAGCUAUAAAUUCUUCAUUCUCAUUCUUUCUUUUGUUUGAUUUCGAUGGAUUUUGUUGGGUUUUGUUUGUGAAACGGAUGAUUUUUCGGAUUUGAAUUUGUUGUAAUUUUCUGAUUGAAUUUGUCCCAAUUUUUGAUUUGAAUUUCUCUCUAUUUUCGGAUUUGAAUUACUUUAGAUAGAUUCAAAAGGAUUCCGAUUCAAAAUGUGUUUAAAUGUGUUUCGGAUUUGAAUUUGUUGAAAACCCAAACUUUAUCUCUUAUAAUUAUGUAGAUAGAUAAUGAGAUUAUGUGAGUUUGUGUUUGGAUUGCUCGUUUAUUGUCUUGGUUUAGACAAUGAGAGUUUCAUAGUGACCAAAAACCAUCCGUAUUAUUUAGGUAGAAUUUAAGAUUGCUUUUGAAUGUUUGAUAUUGAAGAAAGAGGAAGAGAAGGAAAAAGAGAAGGAGAUGGAGCAAGAGCAGGCGAAGCACAUGGAGCAAGAGAAGAGUUCAGCUCCUAUUUUGGUCUCUGAUGAUGAGUUUCGCUUGUAUACUGGUCUUUGAUGUUGAUGUAUAAAUUUAAGUGUUUAGGUACAACUGGUACGAUUAGGUACAACUAUGUUUCUGGGUUUAUGUUUUGUGAUUAUGUAUGAAUCUUUGAAUUUGAAUCCAAUUAUGUAUGAAUCUUUUAAUCUGAAUCUUAAAUUUUUAUGUAUCAAUCUAUGUAUUGAAUA